rnacentral:misc_RNA from 1 species
GAAAUGCGUUACCUAGUGUGACAUGCAUACACUCGUGAAUCACCGACAUCUUGAACGUAACUGACGGGGUUCGGUUUACCGAAUCUCAAUCGCGGUCGAGUGCCAAUAUACACUAAAUCAACUUAAUAAUUGAGAUCUCGGGUAAGCUUUUUUUUAAAAAAAGCGAUUUACCCGUAUCUUUAAAUCCACCGAUUACGGAUAUUUUUUACACUGAAGCGGUAAUUUAAUUAUUUAAUCAGUUAAAUUUUAUCCGUAUACCGGACCUUAAAUAAUUUUCUUCUUACCCGAUAUUCUCGGGUAAUAUAAGACUUAUUUGACCUCGACUGCGAUAGACUACCCGCUGAAUUUAA